rfam:Ovis aries breed Texel chromosome 17, whole genome shotgun sequence.
UCCCUUGUAGCUCAGCUGGUAGAGAAUCUGCCUGCAAUGUGGAAGGCCUGGGUUCAAUCCCUGGGUUGGGAA